AUGCCAGGGGUAGAAGAUUUUGCCAUGAGUGACAUCGGUUCCCCAGACCCUUGUGCUCUUCCUGAGCAACGAAAGAAGCGCUGUUUAAAUAAGAAGGAGCAGCUGGUUUAUGCGCCUCUUUCUGGAGUUGGGCGUGUGCUGUAUGACAAAGACGCUGUCUUUGUUGACCUUGGUGGCAGCCACGGUUUUCAGGCACAGCUAAACUGGCCUCUAAAGCUGGAAGGUGAAUUAACAGUUGAAAAUAAUGACAUGUAUAAGGUGAGUUUGGAGGAUUGCAGAUGCAGGGGCACCGUACUGCUGAAGGAGUGUUGGAAGCUCACUGCAGAAGAUGAUAAAAGCAGACUGAUGCGUAUUACUUGCUGAAAUAUAAACUGGAGGCACAGGUGAAGAUUACUAAAUCUAAUGAGCAGUUUGGCAGAUAAGACAGGCUGUCAGGCUGUGGCAGUUCAGCAGUGGGCGUGCUGCCUGUCACCCAAGUCAUUUGUUCCAGAGGGCUACACUUGAAUACCACAAAUAAAAUUUUCCUUGUCACUGAUAUUUGGUAUCACAAUGAAAUCGAUGUUAUCUUUCAGGUUUCCGGUUGAAUUAGCAGCCAUUAACAUCUGGUGAUUUGGGUUGUAAAAUUAUUUUUAGUUUUGCCUGUUCACAUUUCAUCCACAAAGCACAAACGAUAUAUUUUCCCACAUGAGAAUGUAAGCAGUAUAAGACUUUAAAACACACUAAUGAAAUAUACAUGAUUACAUGCUUCAAUGAACUAAAACUUUCAUCUGUGAUCUUUAUUUUGCAACACUCUGAAGUAACAUUACAGUCUUUUCAGUGUGCUAUGUUAUUGAUAUCCCCUACUUUACCCUGGGAAUCCUUUAUUGCCAUUGAGCAUAUGAAAGUUGAGACAUGUGCAUAGCUUCUCCCCAUUGAACUCAUCAGUGGGGAGGAGCUAUGUACCAGGGACACUUGGAAAAGAUUUUCAUGAGUCUGUUAGAUGUAACAGCUCCUUAAGGAAACUUCACAGUUUAGCUUCCCAAUUUUUUUUUUUUUACCAUUUGUAAACUAAGGCUCAGUGAUGUAAAACAUAAUACAUUCUGUGCUGGGCAUAACUGUAGCUUAGGUUUUCAUAUUCAAGACAAGCAGAGGUAUAGCUGAAAAUGUAUGAACACUUAUUAUGCCUCAAGAUCCCUUUGUUGGUUUAGUUGUGACAAUUUCCAAACACCUGACUUGGGGCUAAAGCAUCUUUCUAUCUGGGUCAGUAUUUCUAAGUUGCCUUUAAACUGAAUAAACAUCUGGUGUUUAUAUUUAAUUGCCUCAAUGUGGAACACUGCAAUUUAAAAAAUUACAUAUAUGUAAUAUAAUAUUUUACACAAAAUAAUAGUGACUGGCAGUCCAUUGGCCAAAGAAGUAUUAUUUUUCAGAUAUUCUGCUCUCUGUCAUCAGCUGUAGACACUGACCUGGUAUUUAUCUGGAAAGGCUUGCUGUCAGGGGUUCACAGUGCUGCCUGUGGGUUAUCUCCAGACCCUUUACAGAUGGCACUUUAGGACAGGGUGAAUCACAGGUUGCACUAGAAGUUGCCUUUGAAAUUAAACCUGAACUAUGUGGAACUGGAACCCUUGUACACAAAGCUCUUUACCGUCCAAAUCCUGCUGAACUCAGGAAAGAACAGUUUUCCAGAUUCAUUCUUUCCACUCAUAAGAUUUCCCCACUGCCCAACUAAAAAUUUUCUCCCAUUCUGUGGGUUGCCUAUUCACUCUGAUGGUAGUUUCUUUUGCUGUGCAGAAGCUCUUUAGUUUAAUUAGAUCUGAUUUGUCAAUUUUGGCUUUUGUUGCCAUUGCUUUUGGUGUUUUAGACAUGAAGUCCUUGCCCAUGCCUAUGUCCUGAAUGGUAUUGCCUAGGUUUUCUUCUAGGGUU
rnacentral:lncRNA from 1 species